rnacentral:tRNA from 1 species
GCGGGCCUGGUCUAACGGCAAGGCGCAGCCCGUCCCCGGCUGAAGAUGUGAGUUCAAGUCUCACGGCCCGCUCCA